AAACAUCUAAUACUUGAGGUUCGAAAGGGAAAAACCAAUAGAAAAUGAAUGUCAUGCUCAAAUCUACCUUGGGUACUACCAUAGUGAACCUUGGGUACUACCAUAGUGAACCUUGGGUACUACCAUAGUGAACCUUGGAUACUACCUUAGUGAACCUUGGGUACUACCUUAGUAACCCUUAGGUACUACAUUAGUGACCCUUAGGCUCACAAAUGAAGUAAUUAAGUCUCACAAAUGUUCACAAAUGAAGUUUCGAAGCUUCACACAAGUAAUACCCAAGUUUAACUAUGGUAAUACCUAAGGUCGAUUAAGGUAGUACAUAAGGUUGAUUAAGAUAGUACCUAAGGUUCACUAUGGUAGUACCUAAGGUU
rnacentral:lncRNA from 1 species